rnacentral:rRNA from 1 species
AUUGAACGCUGGCGGCAGGCCUAACACAUGCAAGUCGAGCGGGGUUUUCGGACCUAGCGGCGGACGGGUGAGUAAUGCGUAGGAAGCUACCCGAUAGAGGGGGAUACCAGUUGGAAACGACUGUUAAUACCGCAUAAUGUCUACGGACCAAAGUGUGGGACCUUCGGGCCACAUGCUAUCGGAUGCGCCUACGUGGGAUUAGCUAGUUGGUGGGGUAAUGGCUCACCAAGGCGACGAUCCCUAGCUGGUUUGAGAGGAUGAUCAGCCACACUGGAACUGAGACACGGUCCAGACUCCUACGGGAGGCAGUAGUGGGGAAUAUUGGACAAUGGGCGCAAGCCUGAUCCAGCCAUGCCGCGUGUGUGAAGAAGGCCUUCGGGUUGUAAAGCACUUUCAGUAGGGAGGAAGAGUUGAGUGUUAAUAGUACUCAGCUUUGACGUUACCUACAGAAGAAGCACCGGCUAACUCUGUGCAGCAGCCGCCGCAGUAACAC